AGCCGGGCCCUCCCUGCGCGCGUGCGCAUCGCGACGGUCGUUCGUGUUGGCAGGCGGUAGGCGUCCCUGCGUGUCCAUGGUAACCAGUGGAGCCGACUCUGGUCCAGCGCAACCCCGGGGCGUUGGAAAGGCAAGAAGAGGUCAAGAGGCUGCCGUUGUGGGCACAGUGGGAGCUACUGAGGAGGGGCAAGGGGUACAGAGCUCGUCGAGGUGCCUGGCGCUCGGAGGCGGGAUGAAGACAACCCCCCACCGUCAGGUGUCGGGCAAGGCACCCCUGGGUGGGAUUGGCCUCCACCACAGUGCCCAGCGGGACAGGAAGUCCAUCACCCUGCAUGUGAAACUGGAGGUGCUUCGCAGGUUUGAAGAGGGUGAGAAGCUGACGCAGAUCGCCCGGGCUCUGGGGCUGGCCACCUCCACAGUCGCCUCGAUCCGUGUCAACAAAGACAAGAUCCGGGCCAAUUCUCAGGCCUCGACGCCCGUCAGCGCUGAGCAGCUGACCCGCUGCCGGGUGUGGUGAUGGGGCAGAUGGGGCGCCGGCUGAGCCUGUGGGUCGAGGAGCAGAGGCGGCAGCACCUGCCAGUCAGCACGCGGCUCAUCCGGGACCGGGCGGGGCAGGAGCAGGGCGAUGGCGCUCAGGCUGAGACCUUUGGUGCCAGCAAUGGCUGGUUUGCCCGUUUCAAGGCACGCCGCAACGUGCUGCUCACGGAUGAGCCGGCGGUGGCUGACGCCCAGGCCGCUGCCUGCUACCCCUCCGUGCUGCGCCGCAUCCUGGAGGAGGGCUGCUACUCCUCGCAGCAAGUCUUCAACGUGGACGAGACGGGCCUUUUCUGGAAGCGGCUGCCCGAGCGCAUGCUGCUGGCGCUGGAGGGGGCAGCCAGGCCCGGGCCCAAGGCCCCUAAGGACCACCUGACCCUGCUGCUGGGGGCCACACAGCUGGUGACUUCAGGCUGAAGCCGCUGCUGCUGUACCCCUCCGAGAACCCGCGCGCCCUCAAGGGCUGCUCCAAGGCCAGCCUGCCUGUGGUCUGGCGCUCCAAACGACUGGCUGACACCCAGCAUCUUCCAGGACGGGUUCACCGGCUGCUUCUGCCCUGCGGUGGAGAGCUACUGCGCCAGCCACGGCCUCCCGCACCGGGCCCUGCUGCUCCUGGACAGCGCCCCUUGCCACCCUCCCACCUGGGCAGCCUCUCCGCCCACGUGCGUGUGGAAUUCCUGCCCAAGAACACCUCGGCCCUGAUCCAGCCCAUGAACCAGGGCGUCAUCGCCGCCUUCAAGGCCCAUUACCUGCGCCGCACGCUGGGCCAGCUGGUCCGGGAGAAGGCUGGUGGAGGCCGGCCCUCCACGCGGGAGUUCUGGCGCAGCUAUACCGUCAUGACGGCCGUGGACAACAUCGCCCAGGUUUGGGCAGAGCUGCAGCCUGUCACCAUGAACAGAGCCUGGAGGAAGCUCUGGCCCGAGUGCGUGCCCCCUGGCACUGUGGAGCCCGACACAGACCCCAGAUCCGCCGCGGCAUCGGGGCACUAGCCAGCCACGUGGGCCUCGGGGACAUGGCGGAGGCCGAUGCUGCCUGCCUGUUGCAGACCCAUGUGGAACCCCCACCCUGUGGAACCCCCCAGGAGGCUGAGGAUGGAGAUGCCAGUGGCUCUGGGAUGGCCUGGGAGGCAGGGAAAGGCCUGACCAACAGAAGCCUGGAACUGGGUCUCACUGAGGCUGUGGUGGGUGCAGGGCCGGAGGAAGCUGGUGUGGGUGCGCUGAGCUCUGAGCACCCGGCCCAGGCCCUGUCCCACUUCACCGCUGACCUGCGGGUCCUCACAGAGAACGGUCCCACCCGGGAGCGCCGCCUGCGGGUGUC